UCCUCAGUAGCUCAGUGGUAGAGCGGUCGGCU
rnacentral:ncRNA from 3 species